rnacentral:rRNA from 1 species
UUUAUGGAGAGUUUGAUCCUGGCUCAGGAUGAACGCUGGCGGCGUGCCUAAUACAUGCAAGUCGAGCGAACGGACGAGAAGCUUGCUUCUCUGAUGUUAGCGGCGGACGGGUGAGUAACACGUGGAUAACCUACCUAUAAGACUGGGAUAACUUCGGGAAACCGGAGCUAAUACCGGAUAAUAUUUUGAACCGCAUGGUUCAAAAGUGAAAGACGGUCUUGCUGUCACUUAUAGAUGGAUCCGCGCUGCAUUAGCUAGUUGGUAAGGUAACGGCUUACCAAGGCAACGAUGCAUAGCCGACCUGAGAGGGUGAUCGGCCACACUGGAACUGAGACACGGUCCAGACUCCUACGGGAGGCAGCAGUAGGGAAUCUUCCGCAAUGGGCGAAAGCCUGACGGAGCAACGCCGCGUGAGUGAUGAAGGUCUUCGGAUCGUAAAACUCUGUUAUUAGGGAAGAACAUAUGUGUAAGUAACUGUGCACAUCUUGACGGUACCUAAUCAGAAAGCCACGGCUAACUACGUGCCAGCAGCCGCGGUAAUACGUAGGUGGCAAGCGUUAUCCGGAAUUAUUGGGCGUAAAGCGCGCGUAGGCGGUUUUUUAAGUCUGAUGUGAAAGCCCACGGCUCAACCGUGGAGGGUCAUUGGAAACUGGAAAACUUGAGUGCAGAAGAGGAAAGUGGAAUUCCAUGUGUAGCGGUGAAAUGCGCAGAGAUAUGGAGGAACACCAGUGGCGAAGGCGACUUUCUGGUCUGUAACUGACGCUGAUGUGCGAAAGCGUGGGGAUCAAACAGGAUUAGAUACCCUGGUAGUCCACGCCGUAAACGAUGAGUGCUAAGUGUUAGGGGGUUUCCGCCCCUUAGUGCUGCAGCUAACGCAUUAAGCACUCCGCCUGGGGAGUACGACCGCAAGGUUGAAACUCAAAGGAAUUGACGGGGACCGCACAAGCGGUGGAGCAUGUGGUUUAAUUCGAAGCAACGCGAAGAACCUUACCAAAUCUUGACAUCCUUUGACAACUCUAGAGAUAGAGCCUUCCCCUUCGGGGGACAAAGUGACAGGUGGUGCAUGGUUGUCGUCAGCUCGUGUCGUGAGAUGUUGGGUUAAGUCCCGCAACGAGCGCAACCCUUAAGCUUAGUUGCCAUCAUUAAGUUGGGCACUCUAAGUUGACUGCCGGUGACAAACCGGAGGAAGGUGGGGAUGACGUCAAAUCAUCAUGCCCCUUAUGAUUUGGGCUACACACGUGCUACAAUGGACAAUACAAAGGGCAGCGAAACCGUGAGGUCAAGCAAAUCCCAUAAAGUUGUUCUCAGUUCGGAUUGUAGUCUGCAACUCGACUACAUGAAGCUGGAAUCGCUAGUAAUCGUAGAUCAGCAUGCUACGGUGAAUACGUUCCCGGGUCUUGUACACACCGCCCGUCACACCACGAGAGUUUGUAACACCCGAAGCCGGUGGAGUAACCUUUUAGGAGCUAGCCGUCGAAGGUGGGACAAAUGAUUGGGGUGAAGUCGUAACAAGGUAGCCGUAUCGGAAGGUGCGGCUGGAUCACCUCCUUU